CCUUCGGUAGCUCAGUUGGUAGAGCGGUGGACUGUAGUGUUAAAAAUCAUAGAUAUCCAUAGGUCGCUGGUUCAAAUCCGGCCCGAAGGA
rfam:Acyrthosiphon pisum strain LSR1 Contig22963, whole genome shotgun sequence.